GGAAGCUUUUCUUGCCAUGCUGAAGGCUAUAUAAAAUAAGUUAAUAAGUAAUAAAGCAGGUGGCGUGGAGCCAGGACUUGCUGCUUCUGGAAGGAGCUACUUUAUCCAAGGUUUUGAAUCUGUGGUCGUACAUUACGUUCCUAAUUAAAGAAGUACUUUAUCCUGAUUCAAAGAAGGGAAGCUUUCUUUUCUGUUGUAUCAUAUAGAGAAAUGACUGGCGAAGACCUACCGAGCAACUACUCUGUUCCAGCGCUCGGCUACGGGCUGUUGCAUAUACAGAGGCCAAGAAAUCUCUAGAGGGGAAAUGUGGCGGUCAAGUUUUCUGCUGACCUCAAAGUCUUCCGUGAAGUGCUUUAGACUGCCAGCCACACCAACUCAGCUGUAUCUGCUUUGUCAAAGGAGGUCGUUGGAAGAGCCACAGUUGUAGAGCUGCUUUUAUGAUUCUUUGAGACAGAAUCCCACAUUCAACUUUAAGUUGCUUUGGAGAGAAUAAACAAGAAUGGCAUAUAUAAGGCUUAUUGACUCUCAGAAUUUUAACAAAUAAACUGACUUGCCAAAUCAUGAAAUCCUGUA